AUGGGAUUUCGUGAUAUCCACUGUUUCAACUUAGCGUUGCUCGCUAAACAAGCGUGGCAUCUUCUGGAUAACCCUGAUUCUAUGUGUGCUUCUAUCUUAAGGGCAAAGUACUACCCUGAUGGUGACUUGAUGAACGCUAAACAAAGGAAAGGCUCUUCUUUUACAUGUCUGAGUAUUAUGGCAGGCAUCAUUACCCUGAAAAGAGGCUAUAUUUGGCGAGUGGGGAACAGACAAAAAAUAAAUAUUUGGGAAGAUGCUUGGAUGCCAAACUAUGCUAAUAGGAGAAUUGUAACGCCGAAGGGGGGACAUCUGUUAACCAAGGUAGGUGAUCUCAUUGAUCCUGUGUCCAAUAAUUGGGAUGAAUAACUCAUCACACAAACUAUGUGGCCCAUCGAUAUACAACAGAUUCUUUCAAUUCCACUCUCGCAAUAUGAUAUGCCAGAUUUUAUUGCUUGGAGCUAUACAAAAAAUAGGAUGUUCUCGGUUCGUUCAGCAUAUUCCAUCGAGUGGGAAAAUCAAUAUGGUAACAAAUUAAAAUACUCCAAUGGAAUGGGGCGAACCACAGUUAACCCUAUUUGGAGUAAGAUAUGGAAGUUAUCUUGCCCAGCAAAAGUGAAAAAAUUUAUAUGGCGCACGCUUCAUGGAACUCUCCCAUGCCGGGUUACGCUUGCUAAUAGACAUAUGAAGGUUUCGCCCACUUGCCCCACUUGCUCAGAGGGCUUAGAAGAUACAAAACAUAUGUUUUUCCAUUGUAGGAAAGCAAAGGAGGUUUGGAAAACUCUAGGGAUAAUUGCUGUCUAUAAAGCGUGCGAGGUAGACCAUGCUGGAGAGGCGGUGUUGGAGUACUUACUACUUCUCCCGGACUAA
rnacentral:rRNA from 1 species